rnacentral:rRNA from 1 species
UACGAAGGGGGCUAGCGUUGCUCGGAAUCACUGGGCGUAAAGCGCACGUAGGCGGCUUUCUAAGUCAGGGGUGAAAUCCCGGAGCUCAACUCCGGAACUGCCUUUGAUACAGGAAAGCUCGAGUUCGGGAGAGGUAAGUGGAACUGCGAGUGUAGAGGUGAAAUUCGUAGAUAUUCGCAAGAACACCAGUGGCGAAGGCGGCUCACUGGCCCGAUACUGACGCUGAGGUGCGAAAGCGUGGGGAGCAAACAGG